GGAAUUAACCCUGACUGGUGAAAGGA
rnacentral:piRNA from 1 species